rnacentral:misc_RNA from 1 species
GCCGCCGCGUAUUGAUUUUUUUCACACUAGGGUGUGGACCCCGCUUAUCGUUUCAAACGGCUUUCCUAUUGUCGUUUUUCGGUUCCUCCGUCGCAAAUCGCGACCCGUCGGCCGUCCGUUUAGCAUGAACCGUUUGUUAUNAUCACAAACGUCGUCAAAAAAGACCACUACCAUGACCACCGCCCCGGCCAAGCUGUAUGGCAAGAACCUGAGCGAAUACGACGAGCUCGAUGUCGACCAACUUCUCUCUCAAUUGUCACCAGAAGAAAUCAGCAUUUUGGCCAAAGAAGUUGAUCCAGAUGACAACUUAUUACCACCAUCAGAGCGUUGUAGUUAUGAAUGUAACAAAGAAGCCACCGGACCAUUAAACAGAAAAAAACUGAUCGAACACAUUAAUAAACAGGCUUUAGAAACGCCUGAUCUUCCAGAAAUUAAACCAUAUGUUGCUGGAACUAUACGGGGAAAAAAGUGGGUGGCACCUGAAACCAAUGGUAACACUGAACAUGAAGAUAAAAUUGCCAUUGAUCUUGAUGAUGAAUAUGGUGAUGCAUUAAAUACCGCAUCACAAGAAGAAAUCAUAGAUUUGGCCGCUAUACUAGGAUUCCAUUCAAUGAUGAACCAAGACCAAUACCAUGCUUCACUAUUGAAUAAAGGUCAGCCAGUUGGCUUAGGAUGGGAUGGUGUUACUAAGGCAACACAGCCUAAGGUUUAUCCCCCAGAACCACCCAAUCAAACAGAUCCAGAAGAAAGUAUUAAACGGGUNCGUGAUGAUGAUCCUAAGCUACUUGAUCUCAAUUGGAACAACAUUAAAAAUAUUUCUGAUGAAAAGUUUGAGAGUCUAUUCAAUGCUUUAGUGGAAAAUACUCAUUUAGAAACAUUAAGUUUGGUAAAUGUUGGACUUACUGAUCGGUUAGCAGACAAGCUAGCUGAAGCAUUAGAAAAAAAUUGCACAUUACGUGUUUGCAAUGUGGAAACAAAUUUUAUUAGCCCUGUAGGAAUAAUUCAUUUAGUCAAGUCUUUAUUGAAACAGAGAUCUUUGGAAGAAUUCCGUGCCACUAACCAGAGAUCCCAAGUAUUGGGAAAUAAGAUAGAAAUGGAACUUACUAAAUUGAUUGAACAAAAUCCAACCAUUCUUAGACUUGGUUUACAUUUGGAGUACAAUGAUGCUCGUCAUCGCAUUGCAUCACAUUUACAACGCAAUAUUGACAGGAUAAGAAAAGACACGCCGUUGAAAAUGAAAUUUAGGUUCUUUAGAAAAACACCCCAGAAGCACCGCAAGAACUUGAUCAAAUAAAUGAUCGGCGGAUUACAUUAUUGAGUACGCCAGAGCCGUGUGGGCGCAAACUCCGCAUAAAUUACAUAUUUUGGCUACGUACACUAUUUAGGCCGCUUACGCAGAACUGGUCAUUUUG